UGGGUAACCUGCCUGUAAGACUGGGAUAACUCCGGGAAACCGGGGCUAAUACCGGAUGGUUGUUUGAACCGCAUGGUUCAAACAUAAAAGGUGGCUUCGGCUACCACUUACAGAUGGACCCGCGGCGCAUUAGCUAGUUGGUGAGGUAACGGCUCACCAAGGCAACGAUGCGUAGCCGACCUGAGAGGGUGAUCGGCCACACUGGGACUGAGACACGGCCCAGACUCCUACGGGAGGCAGCAGUAGGGAGCCUUCCGCAAUGGACGAAAGUCUGACGGAGCAACGCCGCGUGAGUGAUGAAGGUUUUCGGAUCGUAAAGCUCUGUGGUUAGGGAAGAACAAGUACCGUUCGAAUAGGGCGCUACCUUGACGCUACCUAACCAGAAAGCCACGGCUAACUACGUGCCAGCAGCCGCGGUAAUACGUAGGUGGCAAGCGUAGUCCGGAAUUAUUGGGCGUAAAGGGCUCGCAGGCGGUUUCUUAAGUCUGAUGUGAAAGCCCCCGGCUCAACCGGGGAGGGUCAUUGGAAACUGGGGA
rnacentral:rRNA from 1 species